rnacentral:rRNA from 1 species
CUACGGGUGGCUGCAGUGGGGAAUAUUGCACAAUGGGCGCAAGCCUGAUGCAGCCAUGCCGCGUGUGUGAAGAAGGCCUUCGGGUUGUAAAGCACUUUCAGCGGGGAGGAAGGCGGUGAGGUUAAUAACCUCAUCGAUUGACGUUACCCGCAGAAGAAGCACCGGCUAACUCCGUGCCAGCAGCCGCGGUAAUACGGAGGGUGCAAGCGUUAAUCGGAAUUACUGGGCGUAAAGCGCACGCAGGCGGUCUGUCAAGUCGGAUGUGAAAUCCCCGGGCUCAACCUGGGAACUGCAUUCGAAACUGGCAGGCUAGAGUCUUGUAGAGGGGGGUAGAAUUCCAGGUGUAGCGGUGAAAUGCGUAGAGAUCUGGAGGAAUACCGGUGGCGAAGGCGGCCCCCUGGACAAAGACCGACGCUCAGGUGCGAAAGCGUGGGGAGCAAACAGGAUUAGAUACCCGGGUAGUC